rnacentral:rRNA from 1 species
UACGUAGGUGGCAAGCGUUGUCCGGAUUUACUGGGCGUAAAGAGCGUGCAGGCGGUCGUUCAAGUCGCGUGUGAAAGCCCCCGGCUCAACUGGGGAGGGUCACGCGAUACUGAUCGACUCGAAGGCAGGAGAGGGUAGUGGAAUUCCCGGUGUAGUGGUGAAAUGCGUAGAUAUCGGGAGGAACACCAGUGGCGAAGGCGACUACCUGGCCUGUUCUUGACGCUGAGGCGCGAAAGCUAGGGGAGCAAACGGG